rnacentral:misc_RNA from 1 species
AACACUGUUAACCUGCGGUACCUGCGGAAGGAUCAUUACCGAAGUUACUCUUCAUACCCUUUUGUGAACCCUACCAACCUUGCCGCGCGUUGCCUCGGCGGGGAGGUCCGGGAGGGGUUGCCGGGGCCCCGCGCCCCGGUCCCCCCCCUCGGGCCCCCGCCGGCCGCGCCGAACUCUUCAUUUGCAAAGCGGACUGCAUGUUCUGAUUAUAUCUUGAAAACAAGUCAAAACUUUCAACAA